rnacentral:rRNA from 1 species
UAAGACGAACCGUCCGAACGUUAUUCGGAAUCACUGGGCUUAAAGGGUGCGUAGGCGGCGCGGAAAGUUGGGUGUGAAAUCCCCCGGCUCAACCGAGGAACUGCGCCCAAAACUACCGUGCUCGAGGGAGAUAGAGGAGAGCGGAACUUAGGGUGGAGCGGUGAAAUGCGUUGAUAUCCUAAGGAACACCGGUGGCGAAAGCGGCUCUCUGGAUCUCUUCUGACGC